rnacentral:tRNA from 1 species
GCCGAAGUGGUGGAAUUGGUAGACACGCCAUCUUGAGGGGGUGGUGGGCUAACGCCCGUGUGAGUUCGAGUCUCACCUUCGGCA